ACUGAGCACACGGAAGGAGGGGUGCUCUGGAGGUUGGGACCUUCAGAGGGAGAUCAUUCCUCCCCACGCAUCACCCCAACCACAGCUGGUUCCAGGCUCUUCUCCUCUGACAUUAUUAAAAGCCUGGCAGAUAUCAAGCUUAUUCCUGGAUUACCUAUCUCAGAGGCAUUUAUCAGGCUAAAAGAAGGGUAGCUGGAUUCACAGCGAGCCCUUUGAAGACACAAAACAUCAUUCACUCAUGUUAUAAGUGAUUGUUCUACUCAGAAGAAAUUAGAAAGCCCAGAUUCCCCCGCUGUCACCAGUUGUUGGCUGUAGCUAGUUCUUCUCUCUCUGGACCUCAUUUUUUUCCCUGCGGUAGAUUCUACAGAUGACCUUUGCAGAUCUCACAUUGUUCCAUGGUUUUCUUUUUCUUUUAUUCUUUUUCAGUGCCUAUAAACUAAAAGCCUUAUCCA